rnacentral:rRNA from 1 species
UAGAGCGGCGGACGGGUGAGGUAACACGUGGCAAUCGUGCCCCCCGGCCCGGGAUAGCCCAGGGAAACCUGGAUUAAUACCGGAUGAGACGGGACCCGCGAAGGCGGGACCCGGGAAAGGCGCUGCGGCGCCGGCGGGGGAUGAGUCUGCGUCCCAUUAGCUAGACGGCGGGGUAACGGCCCACCGUGGCGACGAUGGGUAGCCGGCCUGAGAGGGUGGACGGCCACAUUGGAACUGAGACACGGUCCAGACUCCUACGGGAGGCAGCAGCUAAGAAUCUUCCGCAAUGGGCGAAAGCCUGACGGAGCGACGCCGCCGUGAACGAAGAAGGCCGUGAGGUUGUAAAGUUCUUUUCGGGAGGGGGAACUAACCGUGGCAGGGAAUGGCCGCGGGAUGACGUGAAUCCCGGAAUAAGCCCCGGCUAACUACGUGCCAGCAGCUGC